CUUUGGGGCCGGGGGCCGGUUCGGAGAGCCGUUCGUCUUGGGAAACGGGGUGCGGCC
ensembl:miRNA Gm23388 predicted gene, 23388